CUGAGGUCAGCAUGCUGUGAGAAAGUCAUGUGGAAGGGCCGUGUGUAAGCACCUCACCCACUAGCAACACCAGCUGAGCCUGGCUUCAAACUCAGAGGCUUAUGUUUGAGCAAAAGCCUCCAGAUAAUCUUAACCCCGGUCACCAUGCCAGGUUAGCCUCCCCAGCUGAUGCUUCAGGCACAUGGGACAGAGUCCAGUCACGUACACAGGAGUCCACGAGCAGUAACAGUUGACCUUGUUGUUAUAGGACCAUGCCUCAGGAGUGAUUUGACGCACAGUAGUUGUCUGAGAUGCUAAGACAUCUAAACUUUGGACGUCGGUUGCCUUUUCUGUCUUUCCACUUAGAUGUGUAAUAAUCACGUUACUUAAGAUAGCCUAGACAGAUGUUUUGAAUGAUUCCCUGAUGUAACUCCUGCAUUUCUUUGAGUCAUUUCCAUCUUAGCAAAUUGCAACACCACUCAUUCAUUCCUUUCCUGACUCAAAGCCUCGGAGUCAUCUCGUGCAUCAAUUCCUCUCUCGUCUCCAACAUACUGCUACUACCAAACAGCUUUCAUCUGCCUAUGUGCUCCCUGCACGAUGCCAAGAUCCCCCUCUGAGCUUUUCUGCAUCUCCCCAUUGAGCCCUGAGAACUUUCUAGUUGGACUCCUUGUUUCCCUCUACACUCUGUUCCCCACAAGGGGCUUCAGAGGGCGAGGGGAGUUGGUGAAAGAAGGAAGCAGAGAUUGACCUUCACGUUUAGGCACAAGGAGGGAUUCAAGCAAAUGAGAUUCAAAGAGAUGAGCAGAAAGUUGGGAUCGGUUUUCAGAGCCUCGGCAAAGGCGUAUGUGGAUGCUGAGAGAGACAGGACAGUUUCACCGAGCGUGGGGAUGUUGGUGUGGUUGCAGGCUGUGCAUUCGGAUGGAGAGGAUGGCUUCAGGAUGAAGGACGAAUUAACUGAGGAGGGGCACCACUGUCCAGUCGGUUUUAGUACGAUUUCCCAAGAAACAAAGAAAUGGAGUACAGAAGACUGAACGCUGUAUUGACUGACACCCAGUAGGGAGUUCCUAAAGAUCCAUGGACCCUUUGGGUUGCUGGACUUGACUUUGCACUUGAGGAUUUCAUGUUGAUGUCAAAUAGUGCAUUCUGAAAUGUCACUUCUGCCUUGUAAGUAUCCGCUAAUUCUCAA